UGAGGAAUAUUGGUCAAUGGGCGCAAGCCUGAACCAGCCAUCCCGCGUGCAGGAAGACGGCUCUAUGGGUUGUAAACUGCUUUUCCAGGGGGAGAAUUUUUCUGUCGUGACAGGAAUUGACGGUACUCUGGGUAUACGCAUCGGCUAACUCCGCGCCAGCAGCCGCGGUUAUACGGAGGAUGCGAGCGUUACUUGGAUUUAUUGGGUUUAAAGGGUGCGUAGGCGGGUUGAUAAGUCAGUGGUGAAAACCAGCAGCUUAACUGUAGACUAGCCGUGGAUACUGUCAGUCUUGAGUGUGAUCAAGGUAGGCGGAAUGUGUAAUGUAGCGGUGAAAUGCUUAGAUAUUACACAGAACACCGAUUGCGAAAGCAGCUUACUGGGCCAUUACUGACGCUGAUGCACGAAAGCGUGGGGAUCG
rnacentral:rRNA from 1 species